GCGAGCGAUAGCGGAGGAAUUGUCUCAAACAGAUAAUUAAGAUGAUUGGACAUCUAGACUAAACCCCGGUAGACACCUAUAGAGAAAGUACCGCGAGGGAAAGACUCAUAAUCAGUUCUGAAAGUUACCUUUUGCAUAAUGGGCCUGCAAGAUAAGAUUUGGCAAGCUUAAGUACUGAAUGAAGGCGUAGUGAAAGCAAGAGAAAAACUCGUCAGUCAAAUCUCCCGAAACCAAGUGAUCUAACCAUGGCCAGGUGGCUAUGCUGACCGAACCAGUGAUUGUGGCAAAAAUCUUGGAUGAGCUGUGGUUAGCGGUGAAAUACUAGUCGAACUUGGGUAUAGCUGGUUCUCUACGAAACUUAUCUUAGUAAGGCACCCCAAGUUGAUUCGCCCCCAAACCCGGGGGCCCGAAUUGCUGGCGUAGUCAGACUACGGCGAUAAGGCCCUUAGUCAAGAGGGGUAAGCCCUAACCAUAAAUUAAAGUCGCUAAUACAGAUUAAG
rnacentral:rRNA from 1 species